rnacentral:rRNA from 1 species
CCCGUCUACACAAAGGUACUGUGCUGGAAUUAAUUAAUUAGGAAUCAAUUAUUACUUUGUCUUUGAUUCUAUUUUAGGGGAUAAGCUCUAUUUUAUAUAAAUUUUUUAUUUUUAUUGUAGGAUUAGUAUUUCCACCAUUUAAUUUUUAAAAAAUGUUUUUUAUGGUUUUAUUUAAUUUUUUUUGGGCUUUUUAUUAAACUUUUUUAUUUAACAAUGAUUUAUUAGUAAAAUAAAACUUUUUUUAUGAAAUCCGCAAAAAUUUUUUUCCCUGUUUAUUAAAAAAAAUUUUUUUUGUUUUUUUUGGGGGUUUGGCCCGCUCCAAGAUAAUUUUAAAAAACCCCCGUUUUUUUACUGUGCAAAGGGAGCCUAAUAAAUUGUUUUUUUAAUGGGGUUUGGAAAGAAAGGUUUGACGGAAAAAACCCCUUUUUUUUUAAAUUUUUUUGAAAUUUUUUUUUGGGGUAAAAUUUUCAAAUUUUUUUGGGGGGCGAUAAGACCCCUUAGAUUUUUAAAAAAUAUUAUUUUUUUUUUUUUUUGUUGUUUUUAAUUAAAGUUUUUUUGUAUUUUUUGGUUGGGGUGAUAAACAAAAAUUUAAACUUUGUUUUUUUUUUACAUUUAUUUAUGGUUUUUUGGAUCCUUUAUUAUUGAUUUAAAGAUAAAGAUACCUUAGGGAUAACAGCGUUAUUUAUUUGGAGAGUUCUUAUCGAUAAGAAAGAAGUGCCCCUGACAAU